UACAUGGGGUGCAAACGUUGCUCGGAAUUAUUGGGCGUAAAGCGCACGUAGGCGGUUUGUUAAGUCGGAUGUGAAAUCCCUCGGCUCAACUGAGGAAGUGCAUCCGAAACUGGCAAGCUUGAGUACGAAAGAGGGUCGCGGAAUUCCCGGUGUAGAGGUGAAAUUCGUAGAGAUCAGGAAGAACACCAGUGGCGAAAGCGGCGACCUGGCCCGACAUUGACGCUCAUGCACGAGAGCGUGGGGAGCAAACAGG
rnacentral:rRNA from 1 species